UACGGAGGGUGCAAACGUUGCUCGGAAUCAUUGGGCGUAAAGCGCACGUAGGCGGCUUGUAUAGUCGGAUGUGAAAUUCCUGGGCUUAACCUGGGGGCUGCAUACGAGACGUAUGGGCUUGAGUGCGGAAGAGGGUCGUGGAAUUCCCAGUGUAGAGGUGAAAUGCGUAGAUAUCGAGAGGAACACCAGUGGCGAAGGCGAGUCUCUGGACGACUCCUGACACUGAGGCACGAAAGCUGGGGGAGCAAACAGG
rnacentral:rRNA from 1 species